rnacentral:tRNA from 1 species
GCCGCCCUGGUGAAAUUGGUAUACACGCCAGAUUUAGGUUCUGGUGGGGCAACCCGUCCCGGUUCGAGUCCGGGGGGCGGCACCA